UCUAAAAAUUACUACAAAAGAUAUAAACGUAGCCCAUGGAUAUGUUUAAAGGCUUGUUGCUAAUCUACUUAAAUUUUAAAAUUUGAAGGUUUUCCUAUUCAUUCUUUGGGGCAUAUUUUGCUCAAUAUUUCAAAAACUAUAACGUUUAUGAAUGCCUUAAAAGCAAGCAGUAAUGUCCUGAAUGAGUUGAACGUUUUGAUACCAAGAUUGCUGAAAUUUUGAAUAAUUUAUCAAAUUUCUCUUUUUUUCAUUUUUUACAGUGUAAUGAACUCCUGCCACUCAGCCGAAACUAUGUAGUAAAUUUGACCUAAAUAAGACCAAUGAGAACAUUUUGACAAUAGAUCAAAUAUACAUUCAUACAAAAAAUUAUUUUUUUUUUGGCAAUUUUUUUAAACAAAGGAUUGAUAGAUAACAGCAUUCAAAAAUCGUAUUUCUUUCAGAGUAUAAUCCUCAGAAAAGAUCAGAGAUGCUUCAUUUUUUCAUCAAGAAAAGUCACCUCAGCCCUCCUAUUACCCUCUUUUCUCUCGAUGACAUAGCUGAAAGCAAAUGUAGGCGUCAAUAUCUGUUCUGACUGCUCGACGGCGGCCACGCUGUGACACGGCGGGCAAUAAUUAGAGAGCGGGAGAACAGAAAGGUUAGCUCCGUCGUCUGGACCGCCGCGAACGAUCGAUUGUGUGCCGGCUGGAUUUGGAGAAAAAGGAGCAACUGGUAACUGUUCGCUGGAGCGUGUAAACAGUUCUGCUCGGUGUGAAGUUCACCGCUUGCUCGGAUGAAAACACAGCUCCCAUGAGCCUCUGGGAUAACACACUUCAAUCUGGACCGGAGCAUCUCUCUCGGGAAGCUUCGGUUUACUCAUCUGCUGUUUGGACACGCACGCGACUACGACAGCUCUUCGGUGUUCGUUCAGAUGGGAACAUAUGCUGCUGCUAAAAGCAGAAGCUGAUGAGCCCCAGCAGGUGCAGCAGCUUGAUGGAGGCGAACACCAGCACCACGAUGCCCACCGUCUGCAGCCCCUCUGUCUCCCAGAUGGAGUUCAGCAUCUCUCCCCCCUCCGCCCAUUCCAAGCCGCCGUGCCCAGACCCAAACCCGGAUCCUGAGCCGGCCUCCUCGCCGUCCUCCCCGCCUCCAGGACCAGGACCCCCGCUCCCACCUGGCCCCGCGCUCCAGUUCCCCUGCACCCACUCCAGUGCUAGCCCACAAGCACUCGCCGGGUGACUCCCGGCACCCGACUCCUGUUUGCUCACUUCUUAAAUCCACUCUGGGUGAUGUUUUAGCCUGAAGUCAUUAAGAUGAUCUCAGAAAGUCCCUAAAAGAAACGCCUCAGAGGGAAAAAGUCCUUCUUCCUCGCUCAUGGUUCCUCGCCUCUCCGGGGAGGGGGACGCGUGACGGCUGUGGCUGCUCUUCCCUGACAGUUUUUUGGCUCCGUCUUUUGCCCUUUCAGGCGCAAUGCCGCUCCGCAAGGGGAGGGGGCAGACGGAGAGGGUGGGCGAGCGAGCGAGGGAGGGAGGACCGCCUUCAGAGCCGCACACAUGAAGUUCAAACAGGUCGAAGGAAAAACCCUGAAUGGAGAGGAGUUUACUGCCAAACGUGGGGGAACGUAAUUAAAAUCAAGACAUUAUUCUGAACAAAAAGACGAUUUAAAUACGUUAAUUAAAUAUAGGAGUCAUCAGCAACAGCAGCUUUAUGAGCCUCUAAUUGAUAGAACUUUUAAGAUUAAAGAAUUUUUAAAGAAAUGUCUCUAUAACAUGCAACUUAAUGCUUCUUAAAUGAGAUAAAGAAGACAACCAGGCUGAGACGGUCUGAAUCAGGAGAAGACACCACCAUCUGCUGGCCUCAUGUGGACUCUUCAAACCAUCUAACCUUAUAAAAAAACCAACAGGAAGAACUAAAACAUCAGAGAAAUUACUGGGAUUUGUAGCUGUAAACACUGUUUUUGCAGCUCCACCUACAGUAAAGUCCACCCAUACAUCACUGAUGCAAAAGCCUACUUUAAUCUGGAAGGAUCACGGCAGGAUAUUAAUUUUGCUCGGCGAGAGGAGACUCCAAUUCGCUUGUUCUGUGAUAAAUGGGCUACUAGUGAAGAAAAAAAAAGCUAAAAAAAAA